AAACCAGCACCGCAAGUGGUCAGGAGGAGUAUUGGGCCUAAAGCAUCCGUAGCCUGUUUUGUCAGUUUUCGGUUAAAUCCAUACGCUUAACGUAUGGGCUGCCGAAAAUACUGUAGAACUAGGGAGUGGGAGAGGUAGACGGUAUUCGGUAGGAAGGGGUAAAAUCCUUUGAUCUAUUGAGGACCACCUGUGGCGAAGGCGGUCUACCAGAACACGUUCGACGGUGAGGGAUGAAAGCUGGGGGAGCAAACCGGAUUAGAAACCCCAGUAGUCC
rnacentral:rRNA from 1 species